rnacentral:tRNA from 1 species
GCGAUACUAGCUCAGUUGGUAGAGCGCAACCUUGCCAAGGUUGAGGUCACGAGUUCGAACCUCGUGUGUCGCU